UUUUAAAAACUAUACAUCCUACAGAGAAGAGAUUUAUAUUGUGAUAUAAUAUAAAGCUCUUCGCUGUAGGAUGUAUAGUUUUUAAAA